GUUUGACGGAUGGUCGCGGCUGCAGGAACGAAAGGCUGCAGGUGAGGAAAGUCCGGGCUUCAUAGGGCAGGAUGCCAGAUAACAUCUGGUGGAGGUGACUCUAAGGAAAGUGCAACAGAAAUAUACCGCCAUAUUUAUUGUGGUAAGGUUGGAAGGGCAGUGUAAGAGACUACCGCCUGUGUGGUAACAGACAGGGCAUAUGUAAACCCCAUCCGAAGCAAGACCGAACAGAAACAUAAGGUUGCCCGCCUGUUUCGGGUAGGUCGCUUGAAACUAUUAGUGAUAGUAGUUCUAGAUAGAUGAUCAUCUAAGACAUAACCCGGCUUAUAGUCAAACUU
rnacentral:RNase_P_RNA from 1 species